rnacentral:rRNA from 1 species
UACGGAGGGGGCAAGCGUUAUCCGGAUUCACUGGGUUUAAAGGGUGCGUAGGUGGGUCUGUAAGUCAGUGGUGAAAUCUCCGUGCUUAACAUGGAAACUGCCAUUGAUACUAUAGGUCUUGAAUUUUCUGGAGGUCAGCGGAAUAUGUCAUGUAGCGGUGAAAUGCUUAGAUAUGACAUAGAACACCAAUUGCGAAGGCAGCUGGCUACAGGGAUAUUGACACUGAGGCACGAAAGCGUGGGGAGCAAACAGG